CUUUUCAAAAAUUAUUUCAUUUGUAACUGAUGGUCUACUACUCUUCACGCAUGCAUAGACUUUGUCCUUCAGGAACACAAAAUAGGAGUACUUACAGCUUAAAUAUGAGAUGUUUUCGAUAUUUAGCUUGAAUUAUCUUUUGAAUGAGGAUCUGAUGAUAAUUCUGAACAUAUUUCAUAGUUGCUUAUAAUCUCCUCCUUAUGUUACAAAAACUAACAAACAUCCUUCAUCUUCU
rnacentral:lncRNA from 1 species